rnacentral:rRNA from 1 species
UAGGGAAUUUUCGUCAAUGGGGGAGGACCCUGACGAGCAAUGCCGCGUGUGUGAAGAAGGUCUUCGGAUCGUAAAGCACUGUUGUAAGUGAAGAAUGCCAUAUAGAGGAAAUGCUAUGUGGGUGACGGUAGCUUACCAGAAAGCCACGGCUAACUACGUGCCAGCAGCCGCGGUAAUACGUAGGUGGCAAGCGUUAUCCGGAAUCAUUGGGCGUAAAGGGUGCGUAGGUGGCACGAUAAGUCUGAAGUAAAAGGCAACAGCUCAACUGUUGUAUGCUUUGGAAACUGUCGAGCUAGAGUGCAGAAGAGGGCGAUGGAAUUCCAUGUGUAGCGGUAAAAUGCGUAGAUAUAUGGAGGAACACCAGUGGCGAAGGCGGUCGCCUGGUCUGUAACUGACACUGAUGCACGAAAGCGUGGGGAGCAAAUAGGAUUAGAUACCC